AUGUCCUUUAGGAUUGAAUUUAAGGUCUAGCCUGCCCACUGAGUUAUUAAAUGGCCGCAGUAUUUUAACUGUGCAAAGGUAGCAUAAUCAUUAGUCUUUUAAUUGAAGGCUUGUAUGAAUGGUUGGACAAAAUAUAUAUUGUUUCAUAUAAAUUAAUAGAAUUUUAUUUUUUAGUUAAAAAGCUGAAAUUUAAUUAAAAGACGAGAAGACCCUAUAGAUCUUUAUAGUUGUUGAAUUUAAUUUAUGAAGAAUGUUUUAUUUUUAAUUUAUUUAACUAUUUUAUUGGGGUGAUAGUAAGAUUUAUUUAACUCUUGUAUAAUUUAAUACAUAAAUUAAUGAUUAGUUGAUCCAGUAUUAUUGAUUAGUAAAAUAAGUUACCUUAGGGAUAACAGCGUAAUUUUUUUGGAGAGUUCAUAUCGAUAAAAAAGAUUGCGACCUCGAUGUUGGAUUAAGAGAUAAGUUUGGGCGCAGCCGUUCAAAUUUAAAGUCUGUUCGACUUUUUGAUUCUUACAUGAU
rnacentral:rRNA from 1 species